UUAAACAAUUCUUAAACAGUCAACUUCUACGGAGGUACUGGCUACCUAUCAUCUAUACACGCCCCAACGAUGGGUUAGAGGUCGCUAAAGUCAAUUCAUAAGAGUGGGGAGGAAAAUCAACUUAAGAGAUCUAGAAAAAAUAACUUAUUGCACAUUGAGUAUGAUCAAAUUUAAAAAAAGGAUUAUGAAUAUAUAUAACUAAUAAUGAAAUUGUUAUUGCUCAAAUCAUUACUGCGACUAAUAAAGUACAUAUAAAAUACACACAUGAUAAUAAUUUUCCAAAUUAACUUCUUUCGAGAUGAUUUAGUUUGAUACAUAUACAUGAUAGUUAUGAAUAAAAUAGAAUAUGACUCAUGGAACAGAACAAUUUCAAGUUUCAAGAUGCUUAUGCUCAUUUAUCUUAUUAAUUUUCAUAUUUGUGACUAUGUUUAAAUCCUAAUGAUGAUAUCAAUUUGUAAUAUUUUUAUAAUUUGUUCGUGUUUUACAAGUCUCACUCGCCAAAAUACAGUUAACGUACAAUAUACAGUUAAUUAAAAUUUAUAAAUCAUUAGAUUGACAAAUUCAAAAAGAAAAAAGAAACAUUUUGCAUCGAUACAGAAUACUUUCAGCUUCAAAUAUCAUCAUAUACGCAUAGAAGGAAAAAGCAGAAUGGAUAAUGUGGAUAAAAGAAGAGGAGAAAACAGUAUAUAUUCUAAUAUAUAAAUAUAUGUAUAUAAAUAAAUAUAGCAUCGUUUAAGAAAGGUAAUUCACAUACAACUGUUUAUUGAGACAUGUAGAAUACAUCUGGUCAUACACAAAAAUCUUUGACACUUUAAAUCAAGCUCCUAGCCCGAAAAAGGAACCAUUUCAACAUUAUUUUAAAUUCAUCAAUAAUUAUUACAUUUAACUACGUCACACUAAAAUUAGAGACAACUUUUAAAAUUGCAGGAAUUAAAAAAAAAGCAAAGCAAUUGGAAGAUGAUGAAUAAUAAAAAGAAAUCUGAAAACGCAAUUAUCAACGAUAAAGGAAUUUGGUCAUUUGAAAUUUAUCGUUCACUUUUAGCCAUGGAGCUGACAUGUGGCAUGUGUGGCGCGAGAAACAUAAACCGUUCAUAUAUAUGUUCAUGUGAAUAGUGUUACGUACAUUUUUUCAUUUUUUUUUUUUUAACAUUUUUCUUUCAUUUUCUUUCCGUACAAUUGUUCACUUUUGUUGUUUUCCUCAUUAGUGCUAAAUAACAUCACGUCACAAAAUGCAUAUCCGCAGGAAUAUAAUAUAUAAUAUAUUUAUAUAUAAUUAAAAAACACGUCUUUUUGGGUCGUUAUUAACAUAAAUUGAGCGACCCAAAAAUCACACAACAUCCGCUUGACACGGGCCAACCAAGAAAAGUCAAGUUCCCAAGGAUGUGUGCCGCAAAUUAGGGCAAUGACCGGGUAAAAGGGUGCGCGCGGCUACAGCAUCGUCAGCCACAGUGGUGCAUUAUCCUAAAUGCGACCGAUAACCCCCAGGCACCCCAGCUGCCACACCGGUCACUUGUAUAAAAUAGCAAAGGAUAAAUGAUAUAAUAUUGGGGCGCCUUAAACGCUGGGGUAGGGCCAAUAUCGUAACGCUAGUACCUAGAUCAGUCUAAAGUCUCGUCACCGUGAACUGCUUCCGCUUUUGCCAGGUUAUGCUUCCUUGCCCCCGCAAGCUGAACAUUUCCUCUUUUUUUCGUUCGUUCGUUCGUUUCUUCGUUCUUUCUUUCUUUCUUUCUUUCUUUCUCGCAUACUUGCUUCCUACCUGCCUGCCUUAUAUUAGUAUAUUAUCUUCCUCUAUUAUAAUUUCGAAGGAAAACCAGAAUUCUUUUAUAUUGAAACGUUAUUGUGUUACAAAAACCCACUCAGUAUAAUUAGCAAUAUCAUUCUUAUUAUAUCGUUAAUAUUAAUAUUAUUAUAUCCUUGAUAUUAUGUUUUUAUAAAUAGGAUGUGUAGGUAAGUAGAAUAGGUAGGUAUAAAAUAUGUAAGUGAGAAUAAUGAAUUACGAGGAAAAAGGAUUAAAGGAAUGAAAGG